UCUUCCCAUUAUCGAUCGCCAUAUCUAAUGCUCUGUUGGAGCAUUCCUGCCGCCGCCUCCUCCACUUGGGCUGGCCACUGCAUAACACAGGUUGAAAUUAUGGGGUUUUAAUUAGUAUCUGUCAGCCUUCCCCUUCCCUUCCAGUGAAUGAGUUGAGAAUUGAUUCGAUGAGUGAAGAAUGAAAUUUCAUUACCAAUUUGGCAAAAUUCAUUGAUCAAUUCCAUCUUAGCGUCCAAGGACAAACAAAAGUGCCCAACUUCUUCGUUAUUUCCUUGAAGCUGAUACUUGUUCAGGAGAGAACGAGGAAUAGUCUCUAUUAUUAGCAGUCUCUCCCUAGCAUCAGGCGAGAACGACAUGGCUUUGUAAUUUACUCCCUACUAUUCCAGAUUUUUCAGAUAGAAUUAGAGUAUAUAAAGGAAGGCUUGUUUAACCUUGCCCUGCAUUUAAGUGAAGUCGGUGCAUUCUUCUUGAUAUCAAAGUUGUGGGCUGAUAUGAAGUUGGGCAUGCUUAAAGGCUGAAGAUCGUCACUUCAGUCUUCCUUGUAUCUGUGGUUUUAUAAAGAGUUAUGCUUGAACAUAUACAAUUCGUGGCUAUCAACAAUCCUUACGGCUCAAUGCGCAGCUACCUAAGUGAAGAAUUGAUAUGAACAAACAAAGGGGUAUUUGGAGAUAUGUGUUUUGGCUGGAAUUUUUUUUGUUUUUAAGUUUCUAUUUAUUUACUGAAGAACAUAAAACAGAGACAGAAACAAGACGAGGCGGUUGGAGUAGGGGUGGAAACGGGAGAAGCAGAAAUUGGUUUAUACAGUUGGCCUCUUGAGUUAGGAUUUAUUUGUAACUGAUAGUUUUUAGCUUUUUGGUUUAUGCAGUUGAAGCAUUUGAUCAA